ensembl:processed_transcript
GACGUAAUUUGAAGAAACUAAAGGACGCGUACGAGGUUUGAAGGUGUCCACUUUGGAAGUUUGCGCUCUGCCUCUGUGUGAACGUCAGUAUGUGUAUCUGGUGGUGCAAUCGAAGGCAGCGCAACUUCAAGGAGCAGGAGGGGCUCUUCUAUUAUUUGAUCCCGUUAAUUGGCAAUGUAAGUGAACUUUAAGCACCGGACACUAGCCGAGGAGGUCUUGUCGUUCCCGUUGGACUAUAACCUAGACUGCUCGCCACUGUUUGAACUGAGCCUGGAAGAAAAGGCUGCAGCUGUGUCACUUUUUUCCUUCUUUGAAGAGUCUCCGUGCGGUGUGCCACAUUCAACAAGGAGACAGUCUCACCUAAAACAUGACCACCAAAUUGUUCCUCUACUUCUUACUUCUGUCAGUGUUUCGAGCAUGUUCUCCAACAUUUGCUUCUGAUGAUGAUGAGUAUGACGACGUUACUGUGAAUCAAAUGUUGGCCCCCAAAACCCACGAGACAGAUGCAACGCAAAUACUAAACAACUUAUUAAAGGAGUAUGACAAAAAACUGCGCCCGGAUAUUGGAGGUGAGUGCUUU